rnacentral:rRNA from 1 species
CAGCCGCCGCGGUAAUACGGAGGGUGCAAGCGUUAAUCGGAUUUACUGGGCGUAAAGCGUGCGUAGGCGGCUUUUUAAGUCGGAUGUGAAAUCCCUGAGCUUAACUUAGGAAUUGCAUUCGAUACUGGGAAGCUAGAGUAUGGGAGAGGAUGGUAGAAUUCCAGGUGUAGCGGUGAAAUGCGUAGAGAUCUGGAGGAAUACCGAUGGCGAAGGCAGCCAUCUGGCCUAAUACUGACGCUGAGGUACGAAAGCAUGGGGAGCAAACAGGAUUAGAUACCCCAGUAGUCCCUGUCUCUUAUAA